rnacentral:lncRNA from 1 species
AGAUACGCCCCUUGGAUGCCUGCAGAGAAGCUCUGGGGCUUCAGUCAAUGACUCAGGGUAGCCUCCGAACAUGAUGCUCGCAGUGGGUGCCACCUGGACUCCACUCUCCCCUCUCUCUGGGAUCAUAGAGUCCAAGGUGUUCUGUGGCCUCUCGGCCAAUCCCAGCAGCUCAGCGUGCAGAAGACUGAGGAGCCAUUGGUCAGUGUAGGAGGUGCCUGGAGUUUUGGAGAUGGGAUCCACAGGUCUCUUCACACCGAACGCCUCUUCCCCUCUUGUGCCAGCUUGAUGCUGACUUCAAUAUGUUUGGGCUGCUGGGCCCAUGGGAGGAGAAAGGCUGGGGGAAUUCAACACAACACGAAAUAAUCGACAAAUUCGGGGAAUGUUAAUCUGACCAUCCCCAGUUACAAAUGAUGUUUCAUGCUACCUUCUAUUCCUGCCUUCAUAAAUCAAGGAAAAGAAAAAGAGAACAUAUAUCCCCCUACCUUUUGAUUUCCAACAGUCUACUGAGAGGCCAAAAUUAUUUGCAGGGAAAGAAAAGGGGAAUGCCAUCCCCACCCUCUCGCAGCUACA